rnacentral:rRNA from 1 species
GAGGAAAAGAAACUAACAAGGAUUCCCCUAGUAACGGCGAGUGAAGAGGGAANAKCCCAAGAUUGAAAGCUGGCGUCAUUCAGGCGUCCGCAUUGUAAUCUGGAGAAGUGUUUUCCGCGUCGGACCAAGCUCAAUUCCUCUGGAAAGGGGUWUCGUAGAGGGUGAUAAUCCCGUACGCAGUUUGGAGGCCCGAUGCUUUGUGAUACGCUUUCUAAGAGUCGAGUUGUUUGGGAAUGCAGCUCAAAAUGGGUGGUAAAUGCCAUCUAAGGCUAAAUAUCGGGGAGAGACCGAUAGCGAACAAGUACCGUGAGGGAAAGAUGAAAAGAACUUUGAAAAGAGAGUUAAACAGUAUGUGAAAUUGCCAAAAGGGAAGGGCAUAAAGUCAGACAUGUUGUAGAGGGUUCAGCCUUGCAUUUUGCUUGGUGUAUUCCCUUUGUAACAGGCCAACGUCGAUUUUGGUUGUUGGAGAAUAGUAAGAGGAACGUAGCGCCUCCGGGCGUGUUAUAGCUUCUUACUGGAUACAGCGACUGGGAUCGAGGAACGCAGCGUACCCCGCAAGGGGCGGACCUUUGGGUACCUUUACGCUUAGGACGUGGGCAUAAUGGCUUUAUGCCACCCGUCUUGAA